AACAUUUUAAAGUUUGUAUGUAUCAAAGACUAUAAAACCUCUUGACGGCGCAUCCAGUGCUUUGACGUUCGAAAACUAUUAGUAUUUUGUCGCCUAUAUAAGCUAUCUGUAUGAGUGACCAUUUUAGUUUGUGUCCAAGUGUUAGACCUGUGCGCACGCUAAAUUAUCGUAAAUUGUUAAAAUUAUUUUGCAAUUAAAACGCAUUAAAAUGCCUUCUUGUGCGGUGAAGUGGUGUGGGAAACAUUCCAAGACAUCGAGUUACAAAAAGGAUGGUAUAACUUUUCACCGGUUUCCGAAGAUUCCGGAACUAAAAGAAAAGUGGAUGAAUAAAAUUAAUAGGGAAAAUUGGUUCCCAACGAAAUACAGUGCUGUCUGUUCAAGGCACUUCACACCUGAUUGUUUUGAGUAUUUAAAACAACGUCGCCGUUUAUUUAGUUCAGCAAUACCAACAAUGUUUCUACCAAUUUUGGCUUCACCUUAUAGUUUGACUGAGUCUAAUACUAACGUACCUGGGCCUGCA